UACGAAGGGGGCUAGCGUUGUUCGGAAUCACUGGGCGUAAAGCGCAUGCAGGCGGAUUGUUAAGUCGGGGGUGAAAUCCCGAGGCUCAACCUCGGAACUGCCUUCGAUACUGGCAAUCUUGAGUCCGGGAGAGGUGAGUGGAACUGCGAGUGUAGAGGUGAAAUUCGUAGAUAUUCGGAAGAACACCAGUGGCGAAGGCGGCUCACUGGCCCGUUACCGACGCUCAGGCGCGACAGCGUGGGGAGCAAACAGG
rnacentral:rRNA from 1 species